rnacentral:lncRNA from 1 species
UCCUGGGCUCGCCUCUGUUGGCCAUCUCGAUGGCCUAUGGCAGCCCACAUAUGGCAGCCUCUGGCCAUCUCCCUCGGAGAUGGCUUAGCGGUGCUAAGAAGCAGUCUUGUGCUAAUCGGCGGCCGUCGGUUCCUCGGCAGAGGCGUCUGCGCAUGCGCACUUGGCAACAUCCUAUCGUUUUUCUCAUUUACCGUAGUCGUCGCCCCGCAGGCUCCGCGCUCCGCAGUUGAUUUCGAGUUUUCGACUCGUCGACGUUUGCGAAUUUAGUGAGAAAAGAUUGCAGAUACGCCUAUUUCAAUUAAGAUGAGGUGUUGCAGUUAAAUGAUCCAGCAGGCGGCGGACGCUGUAGCUGCCGAGUGGUAGAAUCACGAAGAAAUGGCAGGCUGCCUGCCAAUCGGCGACGAAUCAGCCGUCACUGCUGCACGGGAUGGAUGAUAACGAGAGGCAACGGUCCUGGUCGUUGAAGGGGAAGCGACUAUCGUUGUUCCACCGGUGACAGAUGAACUUUGGGCGACCGAAAGGCGCAGGUAGUAGUCCCGUGUCACGUGGCUUAUAAGCACAGCUGUAUGAGUCAUUUAACCUGUUCUUCGGCGUAAGUGCCCGUGCCGAGCUGCUGUAUGCAGACGAUCAUUACACGUGAGCAUUACACACACGUGUUACAGCCGUGUGUGACGGUGCACCGCUUAGAUGUUUGUGGUUUCCUGACUGGUUGAAUGCGCGACUUUGAGUGUAGAUAACCCACCUGUCGGAAUGCCGCGGUACGUCAAUGGGCCGUUUGAGUGUCUGCUGUUCGUGCUCUGCGGGCGAGAGGGCCGUUGCGUCGGAGCUGACGGAGCUUUUUUUUGCGUAUUAGUGUACAGUGAUAUGCGAUAUUGGUCAAAUAUAAAGUCAAAUCUGAUUAGUUUUCA